rnacentral:sRNA from 1 species
UAAGCAAGCAGGUAUUUUUGAGUACUUUUAUUAAUCAAUAUUACAAAUUUUUCUGCAGUAUACUUCCAAAGAGAUAAUUUAAUUUUCCUGAUGACUAGCACUUCAUCCCCUUCUGCUUUUUUUCCUUAAGACUACCUUAAAACAAUACUUUUGAGGGGCAAAGUUGUAUGCAUGGAGAAUUUAAUCCAGGCAAAUGGUGUGGCGCUGCGACACAAAUUUUUCUGUAGCAGUAACUGGGAGAAGAGCCACAAUUCAUGACUGCUAGAGAUAGGACCUGCUUUAAAUGAAGGAAUUAAUUGUGCACAUAAUGAUGUGUCUAAGCAUUCUACAUUAACAGAAAAAUGAGUUUUACAUUUUAUACAUUUUAAAAGAAUCUCCAAGACUUAGCCCCUUUAUUUAUUCACAGGAGUGAUGGGUGAAUAUGAGCCCAAAAUAGAAGUGCAGUUCCCAGAAACAGUUCCGACUGCAAAAGGAGCAACGGUGAAGCUGGAAUGCUUUGCUUUAGGAAAUCCAGUACCAACUAUUAUCUGGCGAAGAGCUGAUGGAAAGCCAAUAGCAAGGAAAG